rnacentral:lncRNA from 1 species
AUCCUAUUAAUAAUAAAUUGCCACGUCAUAACAUCAUAUAAAAAAGGGUGAUGAUUUGUGCAUCAAAAUUACCCUCCGAUAAGAUGCAAAGUUGCCACCUAAUAAUAUAUUAAAUAAUACAGUGUUAGUAAUACAUUAGCACAUGAUAACUUUUCUGAAACAAGUGUGGUAACUUGUGCAUUACCGUAUGGUAACAAAAAGAUCAAAAUAAAUUUUCGACAAAACAUAGCUGAGAGUGAUCUAAUUUUAAAGCUCUCGCUGAUACGAAGUCAACAGUGAAAACGGACCGUGAAUCGGACAAACGGUUGAACGUACAAAACAUUUUGAGUGUUCAAAACAACGACAUGCAAGAACAUGCAUGCUGCUAAAACAAACAUGAGUGAAUGCAUGCGAUCAAUUCCCGAUUAGUAAAAGAAAAAAAAUACAUGCAUGCAUUCAGGACACAGCGCAGCAGCAGCAGGCAGCAUGCUAGCGCGUGUCGCGCCACCGGACAAUAGCGCAAACGAACGCGCGAUAUAAAUUCCGUAUAGCUUUUCACAUGUUACUUCCUGGGUUGCUCGCGCGGGUCCUUUCUUCUUCAUGCAAAGUUGUAAAUAGUCUGGUGAUGCGCGCGUGAGGACGACCGGCCGGGCCGGAAUAGCUAACCUUUCCGUUGCACCUUCCACAAUGGAAAGCGACCCAUCUAUUACUAACCUUGAUGUUUAUUCGAUCCGUGUCAGCUCUUUGCCACGCACCAUGGCUUGACGUACCACGUGUAAGCCAAUAAUCCAAUCUGCUCCUGUUUUUCUUAAUUAUUAUACUCCGUAAUACUCUGCAUUACAUGAAACCAGGCAGGUGCCCGGAUUGCUUAGCUAGCUGCUGGUAGCAGCUUUGAGCCUUUCUUCUCAAAAAAAAAAAACACUUUGAGCCUUGACCUAUUCUCGCGCCUAAAAUAUAUACACACUCGUCACAUUCAUUUUUACUCCAAAUUGAGUCGACUUGUUCCAAAAAUUGUAGAUUUAUAAUCCAAGUUACAAUGCAAAUUUAAUGAUUUAUCUCUAAAUUUAAAUGUUUAUUGUAAUUUAACUAUCAUUGGUAAAAUCAUUUUUUAAUUCAAUUCCUAUCAUUUAUCCACCAAAAAUACCCAAAUUAGUAGUCUACAUUAUUUUUGCAAACAUUUAUUUCUAUCUAUUGUUUUGAUUCGAAAUUUCUAUUUAGACAUAUAUCUUAAUUAAGGUCAGUUAAACAUUUCAAUAAAUCUAGUUUAACUACAUUUUAGUCUUCUUCAUUAUUGAGUCCACGGUGCAACUAAUCGGCUGACCGCAAAUUAAUAUGUCUACCGCUCUUGAACCCAGUCCCAUCUCCCAAAAGGGUCAAGUCAUUAACUCCUUUUAAAAAAUGGGUCAAGUCAUCCAUCCAAUAGUGCAACCGGAGGUACUGCAAGUAGCCAGGUAAGAUAAUCAUGCAACAGCAGUGUCAAAAAUAAUACUAGUCAUGCAACGGUUGCUUGAUCACGCUAGCCCAGUAAUCA